AUUGAACGCUGGCGGCAGGCCUAACACAUGCAAGUCGAGCGAGCGGCGGAUGGGUGAGUAAUGUCUGGGAAACUGCCUGAUGGAGGGGGCUAACUACUGGAAACGGUAGCUAAUACUGCAUACCAUCAGAUGUGCGCCGAUGGGAUUAGCUAGUGGGUGGGGUAACGGCUCACCUAGGCGACGAUCCCUAGCUGGUCUGAGAGGAUGACCAGCCACACUGGAACUGAGACACGGUCCAGACUCCUACGGGAGGCAGCAGUGGGGAAUAUUGCACAAUGGGCGCAAGCCGGAUGCAGCCAUGCCGCGUGUAUGAAGAAGGCCUUCGGGUUGUAAAGUACUUUCAGCGGGGAGGCGUUACCCGCAGAAGAAGCACCGGCUAACUCCGUGCCAGCAGCCGCGGUAAUUC
rnacentral:rRNA from 1 species